rnacentral:lncRNA from 1 species
UGUUCCCAAACACCGCAUUUGGUUCCCGGGAGCAGUAGUUCCGGGAUUUCUGGAAUAAGCUGGUAUGAGGCUUAUACCAGGAACUGCUGUUCCACCCUUUUACUAGAACAAGUGAGAACAAGCUUAAUUAAAGUCUAAAUUUAAUUUUAAUGACAGUAAAUCAUUAAUUAAUCUAAUAAUAAAUAUAUUUAAAUUAUUAUUUAUUGCUUAAAUAAUAAAAUAAUUAAUUAAUUUAUUAUUUAUAAUAAUUAGAUAAUCGAUAUUAUUAUUAAUUUAUUAUUUAUAAUUAAUUAUUAUUAAUUUUUAAUAAUAAUUAUUAUUAAUAAUUAGCUAAUCGAUAUUAUUAUUUUAUUAUUUAUAAUUAAUAAUAAUAAUAAUAAUUUAUUUAGAAUUAAUUAUUAAUAAUUAUUAAUAAUAAUUAUUCUUAAUAAUUAGAUAAUCGAUAUUAUUAUUAAUUUAUUAUUUAUAAUUUAAUAUUAUUAAUUUUUAAUAAUAAUUAUUACUUAUUAAUAAUUAUUAAUAAUUAUUACUAAUAAUUAGAUAAGCAAUAAUUAAUUAUUAAUAAUUAAUAAUAAUUAUUAUUAUUUAUAAUUAAUUAUUAAUAAUUUAUUUAUUAUUUAUUUUAAGUAAUGUAUUGAUGUUAAUUAAUUAGAUAAUAUGAUUUUAAUUUCAAAUUAUAACUCUUAUUCCUCUUGUUCCAAUCUAACCAUCCAAACAUUAUUACUUUAUUCCUAGGAACAAUCUAAUUUUCAUCCAAACGCAAAAUUGGUCUAAUUCCUGCUUAUACCUGAACUUGUACCUAUCCCUGGAAUAAGCAGUUCUUACUUAUAUCCGAACCAAACGCAGCCUUAAAGGGUAAUAAGACUUUCCUCUAAGUAUUGCCCAUCGUCUUUUUAGUAAUCCAAAACAUCUCUCAAUGACAUUUCGAGUGGACGAAUGUUUGUAAUUGUAGAAUUCUUGUGGAGUUUGCGUCUCCUUAUUUUGCCUCCGCUCACUCAGAUGAUACCGUUGACCUCUAUAAGGCGUGAGAAACCUUUCACCAUUUGGAUAACCAGCAUCACAAAGAUAAUAAUAACUUACAUUGCAUUAAAUAAAUUAAAUGAUUGUAGAUAUAAAUAAUUCUAUGAACACCCUAUUAGACACUUACCUUGGGAACCGUUAGCCCAUUUGAUCUUGAGAUAGCAUCUCUAAGCACCCUAGAGUCUAAGGCUGAACCCUCCCAACUAGGCAAGAUAUAGAUAAAUUGCAUAUCUUGUGAGCACACUCCUAACACAUUCGUCGUAAGAUCUUUGUUUCUAUUUCGAUAUCUAGCCCUAUCAANUCGAUAUUAUUAUUAAUUAAUAAUUAUUAAUAAUUAUUACUGAUAAUUAGAUAAUCUAUAUUAUUAUUUUAUUAUUUAUAAUUAAUUAUUAAUAAUUAAUAAUAUAAUUUAUUUAUUAUUUAUUUUAAGUAAUAUUUUGAUGUUAAUUAAUUAGAUAAUAUGAUUUUAAUUUCAAAUUAUAACUCUUAUUUCUCUUGUUCCAAUCUAACCAUCCAAACACUAUUACCUUAUUCCUAGGAACAAUCUAAUUUUCAUCCAAACGUAAAAUUGGUCUAAUUCCUGCUUAUACCUGAACUUGUACCUAUCUCUGGAAUAAGCAGUUCUUACUUAUACUCGAACCAAACGCAACCU